GACGUAGGGUGCAAGCGUUGUCCGGAUUUAUUGGGCGUAAAGGGCGCGUAGGCGGCGACUCAGGUUAGAUGUGAAAGUCCUGGGCUUAACCUGGGGACUGCAUUUGAUACUGGGUUGCUUGAAUUCGGGAGAGGAUAGCGGAAUUCCCAGUGUAGAGGUGAAAUUCGUAGAUAUUGGGAAGAACACCGGUGGCGAAGGCGGCUAUCUGGACCGACAUUGACGCUGAGGCGCGAAAGCGUGGGGAGCAAACAGG
rnacentral:rRNA from 1 species